AGCAGCCGCGGUAAUUCCAGCUCCGAUAGCGUAUAUUAAAGUUGUUGCAGUUAAAAAGCUCGUAGUUGAAUUUCGGGGUCAGCAGGUUGGUCGUGCCACUGGUAUGCACUGGCCUUGCUGAUUCCUCCCUCUUGAUGAGCCGUAAUGUCAUUAAUUUGGUGUCGCGGGGAAUCAGGACUGUUACUUUGAAAAAAUUAGAGUGUUUAAAGCAAGCAAGCGCUUGAAUACAUUAGCAUGGAAUAAUGAAAUAGGACGUUUGAUCCUAUUUUGUUGGUUUCUAGGAUUGACGUAAUGAUUAAUAGGGAUAGUUGGGGGCAUUAGUAUUCAAUUGUCAGAGGUGAAAUUCUUGGAUUUAUUGAAGACUGACUACUGCGAAAGCAUUUGCCAAGGAUGUUUUCAUUAAUCAAGAACGAAAGUUAGGGGAUCGAAGACGAUCAGAUACCGUCGUAGUCUUAACCAUAAACUAUGCCGACUAGGGAUCGGAUGAUGUUAAUUUUUUAAUGACUC
rnacentral:rRNA from 1 species